GAUGAACGCUGGCGGCGUGCCUAAUACAUGCAAGUCGAGCGAACGGACGAGAAGCUUGCUUCUCUGAUGUUAGCGGCGGACGGGUGAGUAACACGUGGAUAACCUACCUAUAAGACUGGGAUAACUUCGGGAAACCGGAGCUAAUACCGGAUAAUAUUUUGAACCGCAUGGUUCAAAAGUGAAAGACGGUCUUGCUGUCACUUAUAGAUGGAUCCGCGCUGCAUUAGCUAGUUGGUAAGGUAACGGCUUACCAAGGCAACGAUGCAUAGCCGACCUGAGAGGGUGAUAGGCCACACUGGAACUGAGACACGGUCCAGACUCCUACGGGAGGCAGCAGUAGGGAAUCUUCCGAAAUGGGCGAAAGCCUGACGGAGCAACGCCGCGUGAGUGAUGAAGGUCUUCGGAUCGUAAAACUCUGUUAUUAGGGAAGAACAUAUGUGUAAGUAACUGUGCACAUCUUGACGGUACCUAAUCAGAAAGCCACGGCUAACUACGUG
rnacentral:rRNA from 1 species